AACGAACGCUGGCGGCAUGCCUAACACAUGCAAGUCGAACGAGACCUUCGGGUCUAGUGGCGCACGGGUGCGUAACGCGUGGGAAUCUGCCCUUGGGUUCGGAAUAACAGUUAGAAAUGACUGCUAAUACCGGAUGAUGACUUCGGUCCAAAGAUUUAUCGCCCAAGGAUGAGCCCGCAUAGGAUUAGCUAGUUGGUAGGGUAAAGGCCUACCAAGGCGACGAUCCUUAGCUGGUCUGAGAGGAUGAUCAGCCACACUGGGACUGAGACACGGCCCAGACUCCUACGGGAGGCAGCAGUGGGGAAUAUUGGGCAAUGGGCGAAAGCCUGAUCCAGCAAUGCCGCGUGAGUGAUGAAGGCCCUAGGGUUGUAAAGCUCUUUUACCCGGGAUGAUAAUGACAGUACCGGGAGAAUAAGCCCCGGCUAACUCCGUGCCAGCCGCCGCAGUAAGAC
rnacentral:rRNA from 1 species